AACGAACGCUGGCGGCAGGCUUAACACAUGCAAGUCGAGCGCCCCGCAAGGGGAGCGGCAGACGGGUGAGUAACACGUGGGAAUCUACCCAUCUCUACGGAAUAACGCAUGGAAACGUGUGCUAAUACCGUAUACGUCCUUCGGGAGAAAGAUUUAUCGGAGAUGGAUGAGGCCGCGUUGGAUUAGCUAGUUGGUGGGGUAAAGGCCUACCAAGGCGACGAUCCAUAGCUGGUCUGAGAGGAUGAUCAGCCACACUGGGACUGAGACACGGCCCAGACUCCUACGGGAGGCAGCAGUGGGGAAUAUUGGACAAUGGGCGCAAGCCUGAUCCAGCCAUGCCGCGUGAGUGAUGAAGGCCCUAGGGUUGUAAAGCUCUUUCACCGGUGAAGAUAAUGACGGUAACCGGAGAAGAAGCCCCGGCUAACUUCGUGCCAGCCGCCGCAGUAACAC
rnacentral:rRNA from 1 species